rnacentral:rRNA from 1 species
UACAGAGGGUGCAAGCGUUGUUCGGAAUCAUUGGGCGUAAAGGGCGUGUAGGCGGUCUGUUAAGUCAUGUGUGAAAUCCCUCGGCUCAACCGGGGAACGACGCAUGAAACUGACAAGCUAGAGUACCAAAGAGGGGGUGGAAUUCCCGGGUGUAGCGGUGGAAAUGCGUAGAUAUCGGGAGGAACACCGGUGGCGAAGGCGGCCCCUGGUUGGAU